rnacentral:rRNA from 1 species
GUUGACCUCGGAUCAGGUAGGGAUACCCGCUGAACUUAAGCAUAUCAAUAAGCGGAGGAAAAGAAACCAACAGGGAUUGCCCCAGUAACGGCGAGUGAAGCGGCAAGAGCUCAAAUUUGAAAUCUGGCCUCCCCCGGGGGCCCGAGUUGUAAUUUGCAGAGGAUGCUUCGGGUGCGGCCGCCGUCUAAGUUCCUUGG